GCCAGGUAUCAUCCUCCCGCUCGUGGUAGUCCUCCCGCUCGUGGUAGUGCUGAGCAAGCCAGUGCAAUCUCCCAUUCAUAAAAACCGAGGCCUUUCCUUGAAGAUAAAAGUCAGCACUUAAUUCGAAAGAAUGCCAUUCCCUACAACCGUUAAGAGCACAAAUCUCAACCAUAGCAAUAGUGUUAUCAAAAUGCAUAAUUCUCGCCACUUUGUACUCAUUAGUUGGGGUGUGAUAUCCAAAGCCAUGGCGAUAAUUACCUUUUGCAGAUAAGAGAUUUCUAACAAAUGGAAGUCGCACGGUUCUAUUAAUAGAAGGGUUCCAAAGAUAAUAUUUUUCAUGAAGUUCACCAUGACUAUCAACUAGACAAAUUAGUCCAUUGACUGAACCGACUAUUUGGAAGACUUCGUUCCAACUCCAGUCAUAAAUAUGCGCAUAGAGAUAAGUCUUCUCAUAAGGAGGGUGGAACUCAAUGAAAUCUGAUGAGUCUAUGGCUGGAUUGCUAUGCAAACUGAAACAUACCUUUUCGUGUUCACGACGUCCAAAUAGAAAAUAGGGUGAUGGGCGUUGCACUACAACAAACUUUAGUUAUUUCAACCCUCUUUUAUCGAGGGUUUACUAAAAUUUGUGGAUACAACCUACAAAUACAAAUGCGGAGAUCUCACAGAGCGUGUGGAGAUCUCAUAUAUCUCGACGAUCAUGGAGAUCUCAUCGAGCUCGACGAUCAUCGGUUAGGUACGAUCGCACAGCUCCAAUUAGGUACGAUCUCGGUUUUGUGACUCUUCCUCUCUCUUGGCGUUGUGUUUCUCAGCUCCGGUUAGGCUAUUCGGACGCUGAUCUCAAAGGGUGCUAGAUUUGGUUCCAAUCUUGUUCUUUCAACCUGCCUCUGCAUUUUCUUCCCAAACGUGAUUUUAAAUAUAGUAAAAAGCAACUUACAAGCUAAUGAGCAACGUGACAUGCUCCAUUCCUGAGUUUACUUGUGUUUCAGCUGCAAAGGUGGCUUUACUGUUAAUUUGGGUUGCUGAUAUAAGGAAACAUGUGAAGAAUUUAGAAUUUGGGAAGGGACAUGUAUAUAAAGCUGUGCAUGUAACCGAUUUUUAUUUCCUUUCAUCAACUUUGGCCUUAUAUAAGAUGUAUUAGGAUUUGUUCUGUUCACCUACUACCAUGAUAGAUUGUGCAAAGAACCUUGUUUUUACAAUUUAAAACUCUUGCCCCUGUUGACUAUUGAAUUAGAUCAUAUAAAUAUUGAUCGGGUUAAUUUGACUUUUGGUAUCAUAUAAAUUCAUACAAUUAUGAA